GCAGCCGCGGUAAUACGAAGGGUGCAAGCGUUAAUCGGAAUUAUUGGGCGUAAAGCGCGCGCAGGCGGCCAUUUAAGUCUGGUGUUUAAGCCCGGGGCUCAACCCCGGUUCGCACUGGAAACUGGGGGGCUGGAGUGCAGGAGAGGGAAGCGGAAUUCCACGUGUAGCGGUGAAAUGCGUAGAGAUGUGGAGGAACACCAGUGGCGAAGGCGGCUUCCUGGCCUGUAACUGACGCUGAGGCGCGAAAGCGUGGGGAGCAAAC
rnacentral:rRNA from 1 species